rnacentral:rRNA from 1 species
UACGUAGGGACCAAGCGUUGUUCGGAUUUACUGGGCGUAAAGGGCGCGUAGGCGGCUUAACAAGUCACUUGUGAAAUCUCCGGGCUUAACUCGGAACGGCCAAGUGAAACUGUCAAGCUAGAGUGCAGAAGGGGGCAAUCGGAAAUUCUUGGUGUAGCGGUGAAAUGCGCAGAUAUCAGGAGGAACACCGGUGGCGAAGGCGGUUUCUCUGGGCAUGUCCUGACGCUGAGGAGCGAAAGUGUGGGAGCGAACAGG